rnacentral:rRNA from 1 species
GUACACGCUGUGACUAGCAUAUCAAUAAGCGGAGGAAAAGAAACUAACAAGGAUUCCCCUAGUAACGGCGAGUGAAGCGGGAAGAGCUCAAAUUUGAAAUCUUAAAGGGUUUCCCUUUACGAAUUGUAGUUUAAAGAAGUGUUUUCUGUUGAGGUUUUGGUAAAAGUUCUUUGGAAUAGGACAUCAUAGAGGGUGAGAAUCCCGUAUUUGACCUUUACUUUCAACUUUGUGAUACACUUUCAAAGAGUCGGAUUGUUUGGGAAUGCAGUCCAAAAUGGGUGGUAAAUUUCAUCUAAAGCUAAAUAUUGGCGAGAGACCGAUAGCGAACAAGUACCGUGAGGGAAAGAUGAAAAGAACUUUGAAAAGAGAGUUAAACAGUACGUGAAAUUGUCAAAAGGGAAGCGUUUGACACCAGUGUUGUUUUUCUGAAAAUCAAUUAAAGAACUGUUUAUGCUAAGUUGUUUAGACUUUAUCAGCUAUCUGUUUAGUUUUGAGCUUUUCUUUGAUGCACUUUUCAGUUAACAAGUCAACAUCAAUUUCAUUUUGCUGUAAAAAAGCUUGAGGAAGGUGGCUUGAGAUUCGUCUUAAGUGUUUAUAGCCUCUUGCCUAUGCAGUCGGAGAGAUUGAGGUCUGCAGCGUAGAUCCUUCGGGGCUAAAUGCAUUUGUGCUAAGUUAUAGCAUUUUAUAGACAACUUGUUGACUAUGAUUUGUCUUGUAGCUUACUCGCUUAUGUUAUUUUACCUACGCUUAGGAUGUUGAUAUGCAUGACUGAUAU